AAUGAACCAGAAGGAGCUUGCUGACACACUGGAGAAAAAUGAGCUUGCUGUGAUUUGCCAACGUGAACUCAAAUCUAAUCUYAAGAAGAAGUUUCAAUGUGUAUUUGAGGGGAUCGCUAAACAAGGAAACCCYACACUUCUCAAUAAGAUCUACACAGAGCUCUACAUCACAGAGGGUGGAACAGGAGAGGUCAAUAAUGAACAUGAGCUGAGACAGAUUGAGACAACAACCAGGAAACAAGCAAGACCAGAGACUGCAAUCAAAUGUAAUGACAUCUUCAAACCCUUAACUGGACAAGACAAAC